rnacentral:ncRNA from 2 species
GCUAUAUCUAGGCGUCACGGUCCUUCGGACAUGGUCCGAAGGCUAAGAGGGAAUCCGGUGGGUCCGCAGAGCGGACGAUGCCGGAGCUGCCCCCGCAACUGUAAGCGGUGAGCCAACCGUCCAUUUUGCGUCACUGAAGCCCGUGCGCUUCGGGAAGGCCGGACGGAAGCGACGACCCGCGAGCCAGGAGACCUGCCGUGACCUGAAGUUGCAA